CCUGGUGGCAGGGAGCUGCGUUGAGGAGGAAGAACAUGGAGAAGGACGGCACCCAGGCCCUCUUCUGCACAGAUGCCCAGAGUGUCUCUCUGCACCCUCAAGGGGAACUCCGAGCCUCCAGGAUCCCGAGGGUGCUUCGGGCUACCCUGGCAUUUAUGAUGGCCGCCCUCGCCUUGUUCUUUGUGGUUCUUUGUAUUGUGGCUUUUCAGAACAGAAGACAUGCCCCCGAGGCUCAUGCCCAACUGCAAGACUCUCCAGAAGUGAACAGCACCAGGAAGGAAGUGGAC